rnacentral:rRNA from 1 species
UACAGAGGGGGCAAGCGUUAUUCGGAAUUAUUGGGCGUAAAGGGCGCGUAGGCGGCCUGGCAAGUGGAAGGUGAAAUCCCUCGGCUUAACCGAGGAACUGCCUUCCAAACUGCUUGGCUUGAGUCCGGGAGAGGUGAGUGGAAUUCCCAGUGUAGCGGUGAAAUGCGUAGAUAUCAAGUGGAACACCAGUGGCGAAGGCGAGUCUCUGGACAUUUCCUGACGCUGAGGCACGAAAGCCAGGGGAGCAAACGGG